GCAGUCGUGGCCGAGUAGUUAAGGCGAUGGACUAGAAAUUCGUUGGGGUCUCCCCGCACAGGUUCGAAUCUUGUCAACUGCG
rfam:Ixodes scapularis strain Wikel colony gcontig_1107729166060, whole genome shotgun sequence.